GGGAUAUUCCGAAGCGGCAGUGCAGAAGGCGUCUGCAGUCGAUCGAUGGCGCCUUUGCCAGCUUUUUUUCUAUGAAGUUCGGUCUCCCGGGAGGGGUAGCGGGGGGGGUUUUCUUCGAACUUCAUGUUGAGUAAUUAAUGUUUGUGAAAAUGUUGGUAGUCCUCCAAGGGGCACCAUGGAUGGUGACUCGAGAAAGCAGGAAAGGCUUUGGAUGGAUGGUGUAGCUGCACAAGACUUUGGAAUGAAGUAGGAGGAUUCAUGGCAUGAUCAGCGAUAUCGUGUGGGUGCGGAGGUGAACUUUGAGGUGGUGGGCCCAAUAACCCCGCAGCACUUGAGGGCUGACGUCGUGUUGUAAAUAUGGGUCGCCGUCCUAGGAGAACGGCAUUGGCUCCUGUGGCUAUGGAGC
rnacentral:lncRNA from 1 species